UUGACUUCAAACCCGGAGAAGGCUCUCCCUCGCCGCGAGUUCG
rnacentral:tRNA from 8 species